rnacentral:lncRNA from 1 species
CUGGAGCUGUUCAAAAAUAGAUGGAAAAAUGCUGCAAGGAAAGAUUCCUGUUGGGUUGAUCCCUAUCAAUAAGGAACUAAGCUUUAAAGGGCCACAUGAUUCUUCUACACUGAGCAACACAAUGUACAGUCUCAGGAUAUCUUUGACACUUCUGCGAAGAGUUGUUCAUAUUUUUCGCUCGUUAUAUUGCUUACUUGGAUUUCACUUUUUCAUUCGCGGUCAUAAUCUGUACACUCAAAAGUAGAGUCAGG